rnacentral:rRNA from 1 species
GACGAACGCUGGCGGCGUGCUUAACACAUGCAAGUCGCACGAGUGGCGAACGGGUGAGUAAUACGUGAGUAACCUGCCCUCUUUUUGGGAUAAGCCUUGGAAACGGGGUCUAAUACCGAAUAAAGGGGGAUGGGCUCGCGGCCUAUAAGCUUGUUGGUGGGGUGAUGGCCUACCAAGGCGGUGACGGGUAGCCGGCCUGAGAGGGUGACCUGCCACACUGGAACUGCGACACGGUCCAGACUCCUACGUGAGGCAGCAGUGGGGAAUAUUGGACAAUGGGCGAAAGCCUGAUCCAGCCAUGCCGCGGGUGUGAAGAAGGACUUCGGAUUGUAAAGCACAUUAAGUUGGGAGGAGUUACCAACAGAAUAAGCACCGGCUAACUUCGUGCCAGCAGCCGCGGUAAUAC